rnacentral:rRNA from 1 species
UCGAACGGUAGCAGGAAGAAGCUUGCUGCUUUGCUGACGAGUGGCGGACGGGUGAGUAAUGUCGGGGAAAGUGCCUGAUGGAGGGGGAUAACUACUGGAAACGGUGGCUAAUACCGCAUAACGUCGCAAGACCAAAGAGGGGGACCUUCGGGCCUCUUGCCAUCAGAUGUGCCCAGAUGGGAUUAGCUUGUUGGUGAGGUAACGGCUCACCAAGGCGACGAUGCCUAGCUGGUCUGAGAGGAUGACCAGCCACACUGGAACUGAGACACGGUCCAGACUCCUACGGGAGGCAGCAGUGGGGAAUAUUGCACAAUGGGCGCAAGCCUGAUGCAGCCAUGCCGCGUGUAUGAAGAAGGCCUUCGGGUUGUAAAGUACUUUCAGCGGGGAGGAAGGUGUUGUGGUUAAUAACCGCAGCAAUUGACGUUACCCGCAGAAGAAGCACCGGCUAACUCCGUGC